GGCUUCCAAACAGUCGUGGCCACCCCUCACCCGCUCCGCCUUCCCCAACUUCCCAAGCUCCAAUCCGACAAACACUGCCAUCUCAGGGCCCGUGCCGGCUUCACGCGCAGGGGAGGAAGACUGGCCAGCCUGCCGCCAUGCCGAGCUCCCCCAACGUCUUCUUCGCCUCCUCGGCCUCACCAGCUUCCUCGCCGCAGCCCUCACCCUCUCCGCCUCGCCAUCCGCCGCAUGCCGCCGCUGCCCACACUCCUCCCGCCCGCUCUCAGUCUUCAUCAUGUGGGACCGCCGCCCCGAGAUGUCUCCGCUACGGGCUCCCCAGAGCUCUAGUCCCACCUCGCCACUGGAUCGCACGGUCGUCACAAGGGCAUGGCCUUUGUCAAGAUCUUCACCGGGUUCAACUCCAUCGGGCACCGCCGUGCGCUGAGGUGGACGUGGCUCCCUGCGGAUCGCCAGGGCCUACUUUGGGUAUGGGCCCCAAUCCUUCUUACUCGGAUCUGAAUACUCCCUUCAUGCAUACGAGCAAAUUUAUGCUUUUGUCAGCUGACGUGGUUGGCGCCUAGUUUGGUUGCCUUGAGAAACAACAGGUCAGUUGCAGUUCAACAGGUGAGUUGCUGUACUAGUAGUGAAUCAGACAGCUUAUUGACCGAAGAUCAUUGCACUUCAACAUGAGUUUCCUGGUUUUUUUUUUUGAGCAAAAACCAUGGGGCAAGAGCCCCCCGGCAACAUUAAUUAAAAAAGAGUUUUAGAGAACUUACAUAAAUGGCUUAACUAGAGGUUAGCCAAAAGAGAGGAGGAGAAAAGGAGAAAAGAAAACCAGUGCUGGUGAUUACAAAGCAUCAAGCCAUGAGCUUAUGGAAUCAUGAAGAGAAGUCUUAAUCCUACAUAGAUGACCACGUACUUCCCUCUUGAAAUCAAUCUUCCAGGUAGACAGAUUUGGAGCCUUCCCUCUUGAAAAUGAGGGCGUUUCUUUCCUUCCAGAUACACCAUGCACCUAUCAUGACCACUUCCAUGAAGAAAGGAAAUGGGAAAGCUUGCUUAACAGUAGAAAGCUUUUCAAAGAUGUUUCCUGCAUCGUUCCAGAUAAUACCCAAGACAAACCAUCUGCAGUUUGAGGAAGAGCAGGAAAAGAACAAGUGCUCAAUGGUUUCCUCAGCGCCAUCCUGACAAAGAGCACAAUUAUAGCCUUCCUCCAGAUAUUUGCGUCUUCUCCUUAACAUGUUUCGGGUGUUUAGCCUGUCAUUCAACACCAGCCAAGCAAAAAAAUUAAUUUUCGAAAUACAUUUGGAUUUCCAGAUCCAGAUGACUGCUGGAUGGGGAGCCACAUUAGCAAAAUGAUGUUGGUAGUAUUUGCUAGAAGAAAAUCUCUGGUUUCCCCAAAUGAAAGUCCACUCAUCUUUAGUUCCAUCCUGAACCUGUUGUAGCUGUUCCAGAUCAUGCUGAAGCUCUAAGAAAUCGUUGUGUGCCUACCUGGUCAUGGGAAUAUUGAAACCUUCUAGUUGAUCCUCCAAAGUUCUGAAUUUCCAGUAGGAAAUAAUUGGAGAUUUGGCAAACUGAAACAGAUUUGGAAAGGAGUUGGAGUAAAUACUUUCAUUUUUUUUUCUCGAAUACACAGGAGAACUGCGCAUCAUUGUAUUAAAAGGAGAAGAGUAAAUACUUUCAUCAACUAAAUCUUCCCAGAAACCUAUCGUGUCACCAUUCUUAGGGGUACAGAAGGCAAUGCCCCUAUACUUUACAUGAAGCCUUAAGAUAUCCUUCCACCAGAAGGAGCCUUUUUGUCUUGCAAGAUGAGGGACAACCUCCCUGUAAUAUCUUUGCCAGAUAAGUUUGACCCAUUGCACGUUCUCUUUUUUGUAAAAUUUGUCUAAUUGCUUGAUCAAUAGGGCCUCAUUUUGAAGGCUGAGGUUGAUGAAUCCAAGUCCUCCCUUGCCUUUUGGUCUUUGAACUAAAUUCCUAGCCGCCAGAUUAUAACCAUUCUUCCUGAAAUCACUUCCUCUCCACAGGCAGUUUUUCCUAUGCUUAUCAAUAAUUUCUAUUACAGCAGCAGGAAUUUUGAGAGAGCACAUGUAGUAAGUUGGGAGGGAAGAUAGAACUGAAUUUACCAGUUGCAAAUGUCCAGCAUAGGAGAGAAAUUGUGAGCUAGCUGAGAGCCUUCUUUCUAUUCUGCAGAUAAGUGGAGCAUAAUCCUUGACUUGGGGCUUAGUAAGCCCCAUUGGCAAGCCAAGAUAAGUGAAGGGAAAUGUGCCAAUUAAACAUCCAAAAGCACUUGCAAGUUGAGCAGUCUUCUCUUGACUCUUGUUAAUGGGUAGGAGGCAAGAUUUAUGGUAGUUCACAACUAACCCAGUUGAGAUAGCAAUUCUAUGAAGGAUUUCUUUUAGAUGCAGCAAUUGAGUGUCACAGCCUUGCAUGACUAAUAUGGUGUCAUCUGCAUAUUGAAUUAUUGGGAAAGGGUCUUCUGCACUCUGAGGGAAUGGAGGUACUAAAUGUCCUUGUGCAUACUCAUCAUUAAUCACACACUGGAGUAAGUCUGCAGCAAUAGCAAAGAGAAGGGGUGAUAGAGGGUUGCCUUGCCUGACCCCUCUUUUGCACUUAAAUUCCUUUCCUGCCACAACAUUAAGAAGGAUAGAUGUAGUUGCUGUGGAGAGAAUAUCUUUUAUCCAGCAAAUCCACUUUGAGCUAAAUCCUUUAGCUUGAAGGAUUUUAAUGAUGGCCGAAUGCUCCACAAGGUCAAAGGCCUUUUCAAAAUCUAACUUGAGGAUGAUGAUUUCCUUCCUUGACUGAUGACAUUGUUGCAAAUAUUCAAAAGCCCAUCCAAGACAAUCUUGGAUACUUUUGACUUUUCCCUUUGAUAAAACCAUACUGGUUGGAAUGAACAACAUUGUUGAUGUCCCUCUGUAAUCUAUUAGUAAGAAGCUUGGCUAUAAUUUUGAGGGGAGUAUUCAAGAGUGAGAUGGGCCUGAAAUCAUUCACAGUUUCUGGGUUGUCUUUCUUUGGGACAAGCGUGAUAUAAGAGGAAUUGAUACUUUUGAGGUCUGUAGAAUGACUGUGAAAGUCAUGACAGAGCUUGUAAAUGUCCUCUCUGAUGAUAUGCCAAGUUUUCCGGUAGAACAGACUAUUAAAGCCAUCUGGGCUAGGAGCUUUAUCCCUUGGAAGGUCUAGUAUUAACGCAUCAAUUUCCUCUUUACUAAAAGGUAGACAAAGAUUAUCUAAGGUACUACAGGGCUGCAUGAGAGUCUGGAGAUCAAACUGCAUGGAAGUUUCAAUGGAGAUGCCUAGCCUUCUCUUGAAUUCCUGAUAAAAAAGGCCACUCUUUUCACCAUGAUCCGAAACCAAUCUGCCAGUACUGUAUGAUAUUUGGCUGAUGACAUUCCUCCUGUAUCUCUCAGUAGCCAUUGCAUGAAAGAAUUUGGUAUUUUCAUCCCCAAAUUGGACCAGCCUUUGUGUAAAUCUUUGUCUCCAGUAAAUGUUUUGCAUUCUCAGCAGAUUUUGAAUAUGCAAUUUGUGAAUGCUCCUAAAGUCUGCCUCCUGCUGGAAUAAAUCUCUGUGUUCUUCUAACUUAUCAAAAAAGGCUAAAGUAGCAUUACAGUUUGCAAUAAGAGCAGACAAAUUGGACAGACCUUUAGCCCAAUGCUUUAAAAUUCUUCUGAGCAAUUUUAGUUUAUCACUAACAACAUGAGCACUAUUGACCUUCCUGGAAGGGAUGGACCAGGCAUUUGAAAUUUGACUAAAGCAACAGUCAUGAUUAAACCAGUAAUUUUCAAACCUAAAAAUAUUGGCCUUAGGAAUUCUGGUACCAAUUUGGAUUUUGCAAGGGAUGUGAUCAGAAGUGGUUCUGGCCAAAGGCAGGACUAAGGUUUUAUUGUUGGCCACGGAGUGAACAUAUAGACAACCAAUAAGCUAUACCUAUAUACUAGAUAAACAAACACAUUGAUGAUGCAAGGGAACAAGUUCUAUGUCCUAAAUUCAACCUAACACACCUCUCUUAUAACCACCAGGGUGACAAGCAAUUCGUGACUAGCUCACCCUAAGAAUGAUUAGGAAAGCUCGACGCAAAGUGAAAGUGAAGAAUAACUAAAAUGUGACACCAAGAGGAAGCAACAAAGAAACAAACAACUCGAGCAAAAGCUACCACCAAAUUAAAGCUUCACUUAACCAAGCACGCAAUGAUUUAGCAAUGAUUUGCAAAGCUCGAAACAAGCAGAAGCAAAGCUUAACAAAAAAAAGCUGACCAAAAGUCUCACUAAAAGAGACUAGAGCUAAUUAAGUGUGCACGAACAAAGCUAUAACAGUAAAUAACACUUAACAAAGCAUGCGAAGAUUUGUUGUAAUUAGAAAGAUCAAGUACUAAUUAAUUCGCACUAACAAAGCAUGCAAGAACUAACAAAGAUUAGUGUUGACACCGUUUUUUGACACGUGUCAAGGAAGGUGAUUUCGGUGAAAGAAAGGUGGCCGAUUCAAAAUAAACCAAAAGAUGCACAGAGUUGGAAUCGGCCGAUGGGAGUCUGUCCGAUGGUCCAGGAGAAUAUUUUGCGAAGAUGUUGAUUAGUCCGCUCUGGUACUCGGCCGAUGGAGGGUUGCCGAUGAAGUCAAGGAAGGAGAAGAGGAUCCGGACUCUACAAAAAUCUUGAUGAUUCGGUUGUAAUAUUUUAAAUAGUUUAUCUUUUAGAUAGUCUUUUCUUUAGGGUCGAGUAAUGUUUGCCGUAAUCGGUUAGGACUUGAUAGCGCUAGGCUAUAUAUAUCAGUUUUAUUUUUGCGUCAACAAUUAGCAAGAAUAAAAACUAAUGAACUAUAGCUAAAGCAUGCAAGAAUUUACAAGAAACAUUUGUAUUAAAAGCUUAAGCAAGAGAGUAACAAUUAAUAGUACGUGCAAAGAUGAAUUACAAACCGUGCGCUGUAGGCUUGCUCGUCUCAUAUGGGCUAGUUGUGCCGUCUCAGGUGUGGUUUUUUAAUUUUUAUAUUUUUUUUCAUUUUUUACAAAAAUACAUU